GGUAGAUGCUGGAAAUAUUAACUAUUAUUAACAAAUAUUACUUAGGGCUUGCUAUAGGUGAGGCACCGUACUGGAUUCUAAGCCUCUGGUCCCUGCUCUCAGGGCAUCAUGAAAAAAUCCUACUGUCUAUCUUUGAACCAAGGACCCCACCCAAAAGGGAGAAACCUACAAAGAACUACUUUUUUUGGAGCUCUCCAAUUGAAAUGGUUCCCAAAAGGUGAUUGCCAAUUUGCAAUCUUGCUACAGACAAUCACACUAGCAGGGCCAUCAAGCCCAUCCCAUGAGAAUGAUCAAAUCUCCAAUAAGACUCAGCUGUUCCAUGGGGGAGUGAGGGGAAUGAAGCAUUCAGAAAGAUAAAAUCAUCUGGGUUUUCUGAAUGUUUUCCCUGCUGAGGUUGAGGCUGAGAACUUGCAUUGGCUGAAGACUUGCAGCUGGAACCAGAUAGGAAGUAAGCUUCUGGAAGCACUAAAAUGAAUUGUCACUCCCACUCUCGAUACCCACAGCUUCAAAACCACCAGAUGCUGACAGCUGCUGUGGAAAUCUAAGCAAGUGGAGGGAUAUCCAGAUUGAGCUGGCCAAGUUUGGUACAAGAGCUAAGAGUCUGGGAACAAUGGGAGGUCAGCUUUCUGUGUCACUGUGGAUACAAAGGAAGUACUUUUGAGACACAGACAGGAAGUGACUGAGGACUUUAAGGGCAGCUUGGGCUAUCCAGGAAAGUUCUUCAUUCUUGUUUUUUUCUGCUGAGGCUCUAGAGGGACACCUGUCAGACUGACCAAGGCCGAAGAUGGCUCCCUACCAGAGAGAUUCAACUGAGGGCUUGCGAUAGGUCUUGUGACAUUGCUAUUGAUCUUGAGACAUUCAUCUGAAGCAUGAUUGUCACUGGCUUCAAACUUUCCUCAUCAUAAGAGAGGGACUGGGUCUACUUCAAAUGUUUCGCACUAAUGAAGUUAACAUUCCCUUUCAUGGUGAGGUAAGUUGAUUGCAUUAACAGCCCCAGUUUUUCAUUCUCCCCUGAGGCCACCCAUUUGGUAGUACCCUCCCACACUGAUUCUUGGUUUAGUCAUGUAACUUGCUUUAACCUCCAACAGAAGCUUGAAAAACACUUGUUCAUUUCUGCUUGCCCUCCUUAAGCUCUGCCCUCAUCAUGAGACCAUGCCCAGGCUAGUCUGCUGGAAGGAAGUCAGAGGCACACGGAAGAGAGCCACAUUCAGCCAAGGCCAUUCUAGACCAGUUGUUCCCUGUCACUUCACUAAUUGGCCACAGCACAAGGUAAGUACAGCGUUUUGUUGAAGAUUGAAUGAGUGUGUAAAGUGCCCAACAGAAAGUCUGGCACAUGGUACACGGAUGGAGCUGGAAGCCAUUAUCCUCAGCAAACUAAUGUAGGAACAGAAAACCAAAUAUUGCAUGUUCUUACUUAUAAGUGGGAGCUGAACAACGAGAACACAUGGACACAGGGAGGGAAACAACACACACUGGGGCCUGUCCAGCAGUAAGGUUGAGGCAGGGAAAGCAUUAGGAAAAAUAGCUAUGCAUGCUGGGCUGAAUACUGGGUGAUGGAUUGAUAGGUGCAGCAAACCACCAUGGCAUAUGUUUACCUUUGUAAGAAACCAGCACAUCCUGCACAUGUACCCUGGAACUUAAAAUAAAAAUUAAAAUGUUUUUUAAAAAAGUCAUGAUGUUUUCUCAGCAGCCCAGUUUACUUUUCCAGACCCCUCUGGCAUGUGUUACUCCAGAAAAAGGCCGGUGUGUGUGAAACCCAGGCCACUGUGACACUGUAUAAUGAGAGGGACAGGCAGGGAGGAGGGAGAAGGUUGCUCCAGCCAAAGCCAGCAGCACCCCGGGAGCUGCUGUAUCUGGCCAAAGGCUGUUUACACUUUGCUGCAGACAUCGAGGCCUGCUGUUCAGGGGAGGAGGAUUUCAAUAUGUGACCCCACAAGGUACAAGCAGAGCCACCUCUGUCAGACUGACCUCGACAGAGUGGUAGGGCCAAGUUUUAGAAAGAAGUUACAUUGGAUAGGGAGGCAGGAAAGAAACACUUUGAUUCUUGCUUUCUGAGCUUGUUUCCUGUACUCUUUGGAAAAAGAAGACCAGAAAACAGAGCACCUCUCCAAUUGUGUGACAGAAUGGGAAAAUAAUCAGAAUUGAUGGUGGUGGCUCUGCUUCAAUACUGGCCGCUGCUGUCUUCCACCUACAUAUUCUCCUCCAAGUCCUGUAGUCUCUCUGUGCAAACUCAGAUUCCACAUCUGUAAAAUGGGAACAAUAACAAAGUUGACAUGAGGAUCACAUGGAAUAACGUAUGUCUUGGACUUUUUUAAGGCAGGCAGUUAUGUGCACAAAUAUUUCAUUUGCUUAUUUGUCUUUUUCUCUUUAACUUUUCCCUUUGUCCUACCUAAUCCCUAUUUCUCCUUUUUUUUCCAUAAGCAUAUACCUCAGGCCAAAAAUGUUCAAAUGUUUCCACCAAAAAUGCCCCUAACAAGCAAAAAAAUAUGUAAAAAGGUUUAGCCCAAAGUGUCCGUGCAGCUGACAGCCAGCUUGCAACCACAAGGAUGGCCACCAUGAAGUCAAAGGAGAACUGAGAGAAGAACCAAGAAACAGACCAGGAACCCUGACCGAACUGCUCUGAAAAGCCCCUGCUUCUGGACUCCAUUGUGUAAAAUACAUUUCCCCGUUGCCUAAGCCUGGUCAAGACAUACUUUUGUUACUUGCAGCUAAAAGAAUCCCAGCGGAUAUAUUCAUCUUUCCAGCUUUAUCUCCAGCCAUACAGGAUAACUUGCUUCUCUUGAAAUUUCCCCUCACAGUCCUACCUUGGUGCCUUCUCUCAUUCUUGUCUUCACCUGGAAUGCUCUCCCCAAACUAUAUUGUUAAGGUCUUAUACACUCUUCAAAGUCCAGAUUCAAAGGCACCAACUUAUCCUCAUUCAGAAGGACUCUCUGCCCUCCUGAGUCUCCAAGAUGCUUUGUGUACACCUGAUGGCACCAAAACAUCCACUCUACAGCACGCUCAUCUGCCUCCUUCACGGGAUGGCAUAUUCCAGGGAGGCUGCUUCUCUUUAUAAUUUUGAAUCCCCUAGUCUGGAACAAAGUGUGCUUAGGAGAUAUUUGUUGCAUUAAGAUGUGAAAUUCAAUACAAAUGAUAACCAAAAGUCAAAUGAUGGUAACAAAAGCAAUCAGUGUUAAGUAAGGCAGAAAGGGAUGGGAUCUCUCUGGGCUGGAGCAGUGAGGGUGGGAACUGUGGCUCAUGUCUUGUAAUCCCAGCACUUCGAGAGGCUGAGGUCGAAGGAUUGCUUGAGCCCAGGAGUUUGACAGCAGGCUAGGCAACACAGCAAGACCCUGCCUCUACAAAAAAUUAAAAAAUUAGCUAGGUAUGGUAGCACGCAACUGUAGUCCCAGCUACUCGGGAGGCUGAAGUGGAAGAGUUGCUUGGGGCCAAAAGUGUGAGGCUGUACUCCACCCUGGGUAACAGAGUGAGACUCUAUCAAAAAGAAAAAAAAAAAGAAGAAGAAGAAGGAGAAAGAAAAGAAGUAAAGAAGAAAUAAGUGCUACUUAUGUCUUGGGAUGUGCCCCAACUAAUAGGUAGAAUUUGGAUAUGUUGGCUUGGGGGGAAUUCCUCCAUGGAGAGGACUAAGCUGAUGCAGGGAUCUGUUUCUCAUUCCUCUACUCAUUGUAGUAUGUUUGAGGGUUUCUUUGUAAUUGUUGGGAAAUGUGGUCUCUGUAAUAAAAUUAUGGUGGGUGGAAGAGGAGAAAAGUUGGUUUUGUCCAAGUGGAAAUGAGUUCUUCAUUUUUUCUAUGAUUAUAAAAUGAAUAAACACAAGUGGCAGUUGGGGAUGGGCUGGGAGCAUUUCAAGAUGGUUUUUAUAAGCCCAACAAAGUAUAGCUGUGAGACAGAGGGGAUGUUGAACUCAUCACCAUGUUCCUCCAGGUAUCCAGACAUUCCCUCUGUUUCAGGGGCUUAAGUGUUCAGGCUGUUAUAAAGAGGGUUGUCCAUCCAUAUAAGGUACUAUGGCAGACACAUUAUGUGUUCUUAUUAUCUCAUCUUCUUCAUGAUCACACGAGAAGACUACAAGUGCUGCCAUGUGACUGGGUCUUGCCAGUGGAAUAUAGGUGGUAAUAAUGUACAACUCCACUUCCAAGCCUAGCCCCUAAAAUGGCCCAUGCAAUCUUUCAUGGUCUCUCUCUCAUUGUCUGGUUGAAUCUACAAGUUCCAGUGGAAGACUCUGAGGAGGACUUAAGCAAGGCAAACCCACCAGAUGAAGGAAGCCUGAAUCCCAGAGUCUCACUGCUUGGAGGAAAACUGCUCUAGAGAGCUGCUUGACCAAGAACACCUGCAUUGAACCUCGUGUGAGAAAGAAAUAAAGUUCUACUACUACAUUAACACCUAAAAUGUUGAGUCUGUUUGUUAGCUAGCCUACCCUGAUUAAUAUGGAUGUCAAAGAGAUGGCUUAGCAAAAUCUGAGGGCAUGGGUAAAUGGCAGUCCUAUCAAGAUGAUCAGCACAUGACAGGUAGGAGGCUUUUACCUGAUGGUCAUGAGAAGGAGAGGUAAUACAGACCCUCAGUACUGGAAAGAUUCAGUGUUUUCUCCACUGGCAAGGGAUGUUUUGCUUUAAACUUCCUAAUGUUGGCUGCAAAUGGCACCUGCUG
rnacentral:lncRNA from 1 species